rnacentral:rRNA from 1 species
GGGCUUGCUGGGGCCACUCACCAGCUUUCAAAGGAUGUGCGGAUACUUACGGAGAAGAACAACAUGCUAUCUCGGGAGCUGGAGCAGUGUCCGACCCAGCUGACUUCUGUUAAUGCCGAACUGGAAAAGUCCAAGGAAGCACCGACUGGAUCAGUGGCGCAACUAGAAGAGAAACUGAAAGCCACGCAGGCGGACAAAGAACAUGCCGAAAGGCAAGAGGCCACUGGUCAUCAUGUACUAACACGGACCAGGGACGAGAAGAACAAGAUGCAGGACGCCAACACUCUUUUCACUAAAUCU